rfam:Schistosoma mansoni, Puerto Rico, WGS project CABG01000000 data, contig: 0151
UUGAACAAUGUAGGUAAAGGAAGUCGGCAAAUUGGAUCCGUAACUUCGGGAGAAGGAUAGGCGCUGGGGGCCGAGUCAGACAGGCCGAGAUCAGAUACGUGUCGGUCCAGUUGGGGGCUGGUUUCUUUGCUGCUUUGUGUGCUUCGGUGCGCGUUGUGGUGAGGUUACUGGACUCUGACCCGGGUCGAUCGUGGGCGGUUUCAGCUGUUAGUGUCGUGCAGCUAGCAACGCGCGAGGACAUGUUCCACGUUGCGUCAAGCGGCUGUACUUCCAUGGUCUGGCGCGCGACGGCUAACUCAGAACUGGCACGGACCAGGGGAAUCCGACUGUCUAAUUAAAACAAAGCAUUGCGAUGUCCACUGAUUGGUUUUGACGCAAUGUGAUUUCUGCCCAGUGCUCUGAAUGUCAAAGUGAAGAAAUUCAACCAAGCGCGGGUAAACGGCGGGAGUAACUAUGACUCUCUUCCGGUGAACAGCACGCUGCUUUCCUCGGUGUUCUGAGUUUUUGGUCGUAUUUUCGUUCCUUCUACGUAGUUUCCAGAUAACUUCAGUCAUUUCAAUACUACUGAAGACGGUGAUUCUGGACGUAUAGGUUUUUCUUGAUAACUGGCGACAUCUGUCCCCCCAGCCAAAACACCAGGCUGGGGGGAUUCAUAUUUCUCGACAAACGUAUCAUCCUCGUGGUUCUGAAAAGAAAUCCUUACUUCACGGAUCACAAAUUGGUGAAUAACAUUCCUUGUACAAUCCUAAACAUAAACCCUUUGGAUUAUUAUAACUCUUUGGACGAAACUCUUCGUUCGGUAAGUAUGCAAAACAUCUUGAAUACUUUACUCUUUAUUCUUGGAACAUCAUUCGAAUACUUGUUGCUAUUAGCCUUGAUAUUAUUGAUACUAUUUUUAAAAUAAGUCCAUUCUUAUAUACACUAUGAGUAUCCGCUUAACAUGCAUUUGUAUCAUAUUUUUAAGUCUGUGUGUUUUGCCUAUUUUGUUUUGAAUCCAUCAUCCACUUCUCAUACCAUCUAUCAUCUUUUCGCCAUUUUUAUUGUACUGUUCGCCGCUGCAUUUACUUCCACUGUGUUUCUUAACCAUUUUCUACGCAUGCUACAACCCUAUAUUAGACUGUUGGACACGGCUUUUCACCAUAUUUUGAAAGUGUGUGUGUUUUGCCUAUUUCGUUUUUGAAUCCAUCAUCCACUUCUCAUAUAAUCUAUCAUCUUUUCGCCAUCUUUUAUUGUACUGUUCGCCGCUGCAUUUACUUCCACUGUGUUUCUCUACCAUUUUUUUGGAGGAGCACACUACUAUCGAGGUUUUUCUGUAUCACACUCCAUCUUUUAUUUUACUGUUUACUGUUAUCUUCGUCUUUAUUGGUCUCAUUGUCAUCAUCGUAUUCUUUUGACAUUAUAAAUCUUCCUUCAUCUACUUUGUUUCUGAUACAUUCGGAUCUAGAUAAUUAGUCACGGAGAGGGCCUAUGAACGGUCCGUGACACGAAACUCACCACCAAUUUCGUCCUCUUGUGCUAUUAAAUAUGCCCAAAUAGUUUCAAUUUUGGAGAAGCACUCUACUGUCAAGGUUUUUCUGUAUCAGAAACAGAGUAGAUGAAGGAUGAUUUAUAAUGUCAAAAGAAUACGAUGAUGACAAUGAGACCAAUAAAGACGAAGAUAACAGUAAACAGUAAAAUAAAGGAUGGAGUGUGAUACAGAAAAACCUCGAUAGUAGUGUGCUCCUCCUUAACACCUGUAUAAUUAGUCACGGAGAGGGCCUAUGAACGGUCAGUGACGUGAGAUUCACUACGAAUUUCGUCCUCUUCUGUUAGUGGCCACCGAAAUACGGAACCUCUGGCAUGUCAGUUGUGUUAAAAAUAAUAAAAUAACGAAGCCGGUCUCUACCAGCGCGGAAACUGACACAUCCUGUUUUUGUUCCUUUUCUUCUUAUUUCCUACUGUUCCAUCCCCUUUGUUUUUUUGUUUUCUUUUCUUUGUUUUUUUCCUUUCUUCUCUCUUCUUUCGCCUUCUCCUUCUUGCCUAUUGCUGUCUCAUUAAUUACUCCGCUCAACUAAGCUUGUAACGUUUUCUCACACCUUUUCAAUGUGCUUUGCUGAUUCUUCACCCACGAGACCGCUUCCUUAUAAUUUGGUGGGUACUCAUGCACUGGUUGCCUUCAUUCGCCUGUCCACAGUAGAUUCUGAUUGUUAUUAAUAACAUCAUUAUUAUUAUUAUUGUUAUUAAUGCCAUUAUUAUCAUUACUUCACCAUUAUUAUUAUUAUUACUAUUAUUAUUAUUAUUACUAUAGUUAUUCCUAUUUGCCUAUCUGUGCAUUUCGAAAACUUAACAUGUUUUAAUUCUAUCAUCUUCCAAUUCUCCUUCUUCGUCUUCAAUUUUUCUCUGAUACAACCUUGUAAUUCAGUGUAACAGAACACCUUGUUUACACAUCUUAAGUAUUUAAUUUUGUGCCAAACCCAUCUGGGUCUGUACAAUUUGAUACUUAAAAAUAAAUGUUACUAGCCAAAUGCCUCGUCAUCUAAUUAGUGACACGCAUGAAUGGAUUAACGAGAUUCCCACUGUCCCUAUCUACUAUCUAGCGAAACCACAGCCAAGGGAAUGGGCUUGG